UACGUAGGUGGCGAGCGUUGUCCGGAUUUACUGGGCGUAAAGCGCGCGCAGGCGGUUCGUUAAGUCCGGUGUGAAAGCUCCCGGCCCAACUGGGAGAGGUCAUUGGAUACUGGCGGACUUGAGGGAUGCAGAGGAAGGUGGAAUUCCCGGUGUAGUGGUGAAAUGCGUAGAGAUCGGGAGGAACACCAGUGGCGAAGGCGGCCUUCUGGGCAUUUCCUGACGCUGAGGCGCGAAAGCGUGGGGAGCGAACCGG
rnacentral:rRNA from 1 species